UACGUAGGGUCCGAGCGUUGUCCGGAAUUAUUGGGCGUAAAGGGCUCGUAGGCGGUUUGUCGCGUCGGGAGUGAAAACACGGGGCUUAACCCCGUGCCUGCUUCCGAUACGGGCAGACUAGGGGUAUGCAGGGGAGAACGGAAUUCCUGGUGUAGCGGUGAAAUGCGCAGAUAUCAGGAGGAACACCGGUGGCGAAGGCGGCUCUCUGGACGGUGACUGACGCUGAGACGCGAAAGCGUGGGGAGCAAACAGG
rnacentral:rRNA from 1 species